GUCUGUAUGGGGGUUUAUAGAGUCUGGCCUGCCCAUUGGGUUACUAAAAGGCCGCGGUAUAGUGACCGUGCGAAGGUAGCAUAAUCAUUAGUCUUUUAAUUGAAGGCUUGUAUGAACGGUUGGACGAGAAGUAAUCUGUCUCUAUUGAAAAAAUUGAAUUUAACUUUUGAGUGAGAAGGCUUAAAUAAUCUAGAGGGACGAUAAGACCCUAUAAAGUUUAACAUUAUAAUAACUAAAAGUUGAUUGGGUUAGAAAACUUAUUAUUAUAAAUAAUGUUUUGUUGGGGCGACAAGAAUAUAAAUAAUUUAACUGUUCUUUUUUGUAUCAAAAAUAUUUGAUUUAAUGAUCUUUUUAAGAGUAUUAGAGUAAAUUACUUUAGGGAUAACAGCGUAAUUUUUUUUGAGAGUUCCUAUCGACAAAAGAGUUUGCGACCUCGAUGUUGAAUUAAAGGUUCUUUAUAGUGCAGACGCUAUAUGAGAAGGUCUGUUCGACCUUUAAAUCUUU
rnacentral:rRNA from 2 species